AUCCAGCUGACGAGUCUCACAUAGAAAGAAACGCGCGUCCUGGAA
rnacentral:hammerhead_ribozyme from 1 species